rnacentral:misc_RNA from 1 species
GGGAGACCAAAAUUGGUGAUCACCCGGUCAAUUCUGAUUGGGUCUACACCUAAGUUAGCCAAAAAAUGUGCAGCCUGAGAAUAUGGGAAAAAUGCGCGAUUGACAGCAAAUCCAGUGCGGUUGCCCACAACAACAGGAACCUUCUUUAUGAUUUUCCCAACAGUCAUAAGAUCAAGAAUCACUUGUGGAGAAGUCCUCUCUGUCCGUACAAUUUCUAGGAGGGGCAUCACGUGAGCAGGGCUGAAAAAAUGUGCUCCAAUGAUUCGAUCAAUGGAUCUGGUUUUUUCUCCAACUAGAUUGAGGUCGAUAGUUG